CAUAAUCUGGGUUUGUGGUGGAUAUUUUACUUGGUCUAUUCCGAUAUAGAUUUCUAUCAUCCUCAACUUUUCGGCCUUUUUUAUAUUUACAUUACAAGUUCUAGCAACUUUAUUGAAUGUUUCUGAGCUGUUUGUAAUUUACUCAAAGACCCCCGUUUUAGUUUGAGGAGGCACUGAGCAGAAGGGCAGACUCGUCUUUCUGAGCGUCCAGGUGAGAUGAUGUCAAACAAGCCAAGAUCAGAAGCCAUGAACUCCAGCACCCGUACAAGCCAAAGGAGAAAAAAACUGUAUUUUUCUGCAGAUUUUGGUGUAGGCUUUAGAAUUUAGUUUCGAACUGUAAGCAUUAUUAUCACGAAUGACAAUAGGUUUAGAAAACUUGAUAAUUGUAAAGAUAAGGGUUUCAUCUUGCUCACUAGUCAAGGCCUUCCACUUGGAAAGACUUGAGCUUUUGAGUUGGAAAAUCAGGCAGUAUCAACAUGAUGUUAAUCCAUCAUUCAAUUGCAACUUGGAAGCUCCAGUUUGCAAUUCUCA